rnacentral:rRNA from 1 species
UACCAGCACCCCGAGUGGUCGGGACGUUUAUUGGGCCUAAAGCAUCCGUAGCCGGUUCUACAAGUCUUCCGUUAAAUCCAGCUGCUUAACAGAUGGGCUACGGAAGAUACUAUGGAGCUAGGAGGCGGGAGAGGCAAGCGGUACUCGAUGGGUAGGGGUAAAAUCCGUUGAUCCAUUGAAGACCACCAGUGGCGAAGGCGGCUUGCCAGAACGCGCUCGACGGUGAGGGAUGAAAGCUGGGGGAGCAAACCGG